rnacentral:rRNA from 1 species
UACGUAGGGUGCAAGCGUUAAUCGGAAUUACUGGGCGUAAAGCGUGCGCAGGCGGUUUUGUAAGUUUGUCGUGAAAUCCCCCGGGCUCAACCUGGGAAUGGCGAUGAAGACUGCAAGGCUUGAAUCUGGCAGAGGGGGGUAGAAUUCCACGUGUAGCAGUGAAAUGCGUAGAGAUGUGGAGGAACACCGAUGGCGAAGGCAGCCCCCUGGGUCAAGAUUGACGCUCAUGCACGAAAGCGUGGGGAGCAAACAGG